rnacentral:misc_RNA from 1 species
AAAUUUUCAAGAAUGGCAUUUUCAGUCUCCAUUAGAUAUAGGCAACUGGUUUUAGCAGCAGUUCUUGUCUGUGUCUCUAUAAUUUGCUGCAACAUAGGUAUGUGAAAGAGCAACAUACAUUUUCUUGGAAAAUCUAUGAUCAUUUAAGCAUUUAUAAAAUUUGCAAUAAUCCCUUACAGGGAAGGCAUAUGAUGAGGAAGUGCCUCAGACAGGCACUGGCCUUGCUGGAUAUGAUCCUUUCACAGGUGCAGGUGUUGUAGGAG